UACGUAGGGUGCGAGCGUUAAUCGGAAUUACUGGGCGUAAAGCGUGCGCAGGCGGUUUUGUAAGCCCGAUGUGAAAUCCCCGGGCUUAACCUGGGAAUUGCGCUCGAAACUACGGAGCUGGAGUGUGGCAGAGGAAGGUGGAAUUCCACGUGUAGCGGUGAAAUGCGUAGAGAUGUGGAGGAACACCAAUGGCGAAGGCAGCCUUCUGGGCCAACACUGACACUCAUGCACGAAAGCGUGGGGAGCAAACAGG
rnacentral:rRNA from 1 species